rnacentral:rRNA from 1 species
GAUGAACGCGGGCGGCGUGCCUAACACAUGCAAGUCGAGCGAUUCUCUUCGGAGAAGAGCGGCGGACGGGUGAGUAACGCGUGGGCAACCUGCCCUGUACACACGGAUAACAUACCGAAAGGUAUGCUAAUACGAGAUAAUAUGCUUUUAUCGCAUGGUAGAAGUAUCAAAGCUGUUGCGGUACAGAAUGGACCCGCGUCUGAUUAGCUAGUUGGUAAGGUAACGGCUUACCAAGGCGACGAUCAGUAGCCGACCUGAGAGGGUGAUUGGCCACAUUGGAACUGGGACACGGUGCAAACUCCUGCGGGAGGCAGAAGUGGGGAAGAUGGCACAAUGGGCGAAAGCCGGAGGCAGCAACGCGGCGUGGGCGAUGAAGGCCUUCGGGUCGUAAAGCGCUGUACUCAAGGAAGAUAAUUACGGUACUUGAGGAGGAAGCCCCGGCUAACUACGUGCCAGCCGCCGCCGUAACAC